AUGGAAAGUUUUACUUUAAUUUUUAGUUUUUUGGUGAUUAAUAUGAGUAGGUUUUUGUUUAAUUAUUAGAAAGAAAGUAUAUUUUUUGUGAUAGUGAAUUAGUAUUGAGAAAGAUUGAUUUUAGAUUUUUAGAAGAAUAAAUAAUUUAGUACCUUGUGUAUCAGGGUUUAUUAAAAUUUAUAGAUAUAUUAUUAUCCCGAAUUCAGAAGAUCUAGGGAAUUAUUUUUUCUUUGUUUCAUAAAAGUUAAGAAUUAUUCCUUGGAAAUGAAACGUUUACGUUUUUGAAUAUAUCUGGUUUCUUGAGAAAAGAAUUCAAUUCUUUUGUUGUGAAUAAGACUCUUUAUAGUUAGGGUUUUUUAGCAUCAUAAAAUGUCUAAGGGGAUAAGCUUUUAGAUAGAAAAUUAAAAAUUAAAUUUAAUAUUAAAAUUUAUAGAAUUGAAAGUUUUAAUUUUUAGAAUGAUGUUAUAGUUGAUUUUAAUUGAAUUUUGAUUUAUAUUUUUUUUAAGUUUUUUAUUGAGAUGAAGGAUUUAAUUUGAUAGUUUUAAUAAUUAUGAUGGAAUUAGUAUAUUUUAAGUAAAGUUAAGUUUUAUAUAUAGACUUUUAAAAGGAAUUCGGCAAAAGAUUUUCCACCUGUUUAAUAAAAACAUGGCCUUUUGAGUUUAAUUUAAGGUCUAGCCUGCCCACUGAAUUUUAAAUGGCUGCGGUAUCCUGACCGUGCUAAGGUAGCAUAAUCAUUAGUUUUUUAAUUGAAAGCUGGAAUGAAUGGUUGGAUGAGAAAAUAACUGUCUCUUUGGAGAUAAUUAGAAUUUUAUUUUUAAGUAAAAAAGCUUAAAUAUUAUUAAAAGACGAGAAGACCCUAUAGAGUUUUAUAAAGUCUUUACUUGUAGUUUUUGGUAAUCAAACCUUUAAUUAAAGGCUUUUUUUGGUUGGGGCGACUGAAAAAUUAAUUAAACUUUUUUUUUCUUUUAUCACUGAUUUGUGAAUUAUUGAUCCUUAUUUAAUGAUUAAAAGAUAAAAUUACCUUAGGGAUAACAGCGUAAUUUUCUUUGAGAGUUCUAAUCGAUGGGAAAGGUUGCGACCUCGAUGUUGGAUUAAAAUUAAUGUUUGGUGUAGGAGCUGAAUUAUUAGGUCUGUUCGACCUUUAAAAUUUUACAUGAUCUGAGUUUAAACCGGCGUGAGCCAGGUUGGUUUCUAUCUUUAAUUUAGACUGGUGUUUUAGUACGAAAGGACCAAAUACUAAUUUAAUAAGUUUUGUUGAAGAAUGAUAUU
rnacentral:rRNA from 1 species